UACGUAGGGGGCUAGCGUUGUCCGGAUUUAUUGGGCGUAAAGAGCGUGUAGGCGGCCAGGUAGGUCUGCUGUGAAAACUCGAGGCUCAACCUCGAGACGUCGGCGGAAACCAUCUGGCUAGAGUCCGGAAGAGGAGAGUGGAAUUCCUGGUGUAGCGGUGAAAUGCGCAGAUAUCAGGAAGAACACCCGUGGCGAAGGCGGCUCACUGGACCGGUAUUGACGCUGAGGUGCGAAAGCGUGGGGAGCAAACAGG
rnacentral:rRNA from 1 species